GAUGAACGCUAGCGGCAGGCUUAAUACAUGCAAGUCGAGGGGCAGCAUGAGUAGCAAUACUUGAUGGCGACCGGCAAACGGGUGCGGAACACGUACACAACCUUCCUUCAAGCGAGGAAUAGCCCAGAGACAUUUGGAUUAAUACCCCAUAGUAAAUUGAAAAGGCAUCUUUUUAAUUUUAAAGAUUUAUCACUUGAAGAUGGCUGUGCGGCCGAUUAGGUAGUUGGCGGGGUAACGGCCCACCAAGCCUGCGAUCAGUAACUGGUGUGAGAGCACGACCAGUCACACGGGCACUGAGACACGGGCCCGACUCCUACGGGAGGCAGCAGUAAGGAAUAUUGGGCAAUGGACGCAAGUCUGACCCAGCCAUGCCGCGUGGAGGAUGAAGGUCCUCUGGAUUGUAAACUUCUUUUAUAUGGGACGAAAAAAGGGCUUUCUAGCUCACUUGACGGUACCAUAUGAAUAAGCACCGGCUAACUCCGUGCCAGCAGCCGCCGUAACAC
rnacentral:rRNA from 1 species